GGCGCCACAGACGAAGAAAUGACUUUUCUUUUGUUGUGGAGUAAAAACGGCUUGUAGCUCAACUUGUGUCCUCUACUCUGUCAUCACAGAGAGAAACCUGAUCGUGGUGAAAAGUGGAGGAGAUGGACGGGUGCUUGUUGAAAGAGAAGGAGAGGAAGACAGGAAGGAGAACAGAAGGGAUGCCAACACAGGACAAGUCUGAAAGGUUUUUUUUUUUUCGUCAUUAUCAAGUGACAGUUUCAUUCUCAUGCCUCCGGUGCAAUCGAUAAGCCCUGUGCAACUAAUUGAGCACUAGAUGGCAGCAACACAAGUACAAGCAAGAUAAGGUGAAUGAACUACAUACACGUAGUUCUGGGCUUUCGAACGAGUUCCAUUCCUACGCU